UACGGGGAGGCAGCAGUGAGGAAUUUUGCGCAAUGGGGGAAACCCUGACGCAGCAACGCCGCGUGAGUGAAGAAGGCCCUUGGGUCGUAAAGCUCUGUCGACAGGGAAGAAAUUACUUUGUAUUAAUAGUAUGUUGUAUUGACGGUACCUGUAGAGGAAGCACCGGCUAACUCCGUGCCAGCAGCCGCGGUAAUACGGGGGGUGCAAGCGUUAUUCGGAAUUAUUGGGCGUAAAGGGCGCGUAGGCGGUCUUGUCGGUCAGAUGUGAAAGCCCGGGGCUCAACCCUGGAAGUGCAUUUGAAACAGCAAGACUUGAAUACUGGAGGGGAGAGCGGAAUUCCUGGUGUAGAGGUGAAAUUCGUAGAUAUCAGGAGGAACACCGAUGGCGAAGGCAGCUCUCUGGACAGAUAUUGACGCUGAGGCGCGAAGGUGUGGGUAGCAAACGGGAUUAGAUACCCCGGUAGUCCACCCAGUUAUCGUUGUUCACUCGGUGUAGCGGAUAUUAAAAU
rnacentral:rRNA from 1 species